rnacentral:rRNA from 1 species
CUAUUAUUUUUGAUUGUUAAUUUUUUGUGCCUGAGUAGUAUUAGUUAUGUUCUUGAAACUUAAAGAAUUUGGCGGUAUUUCAUUCCAUUCAGAGGAAUCUGUCUCGUUAUCGAUAGUCCGCGUUGGACCUUACUUGGAUUGAUAUGGUUUGUAUACCGCCGUUUAUUGAUUAUCUUUUUAGGGUUGAUUUAAUUUUCUGGUUUCUUUAUUUUGAUUUAUUUCAGGUCAAGGUGCAGCUUUUUCUAAGUGUAUGAUGGAUUACAUUGUUAUUUGUUUUUGGAUUGUUUGGUUUUAAUAUUUGCAUGAAAUUGGAUUUGGUUGUAAUGUUUUGUAGCUUGUUUUCGUGAUAAUUGGUUCUCACGAUAUGCACACAUCGCCCGUCGCUCUCGUUUAUUGUUUAAUGAGAUAA